AGGGUCCUCGGAGCUGCUCUGGCUGCGCGCGGAGCGGGCUCCGGAGGGAAGUCCCGAGACAAAGGGAAGCGCCGCCGCCGCCGCCCCGCUCGGUCCUCCACCUGUCCGCUACGCUCGCCGGGGCUGCGGCCGCCCGAGGGACUUUGAACAUGUCGGGGAUCGCCCUCAGCAGACUCGCCCAGGAGAGGAAAGCAUGGAGGAAAGACCACCCAUUUGGUUUCGUGGCUGUCCCAACAAAAAAUCCCGAUGGCACGAUGAACCUCAUGAACUGGGAGUGCGCCAUUCCAGGAAAGAAAGGGACUCCGUGGGAAGGAGGCUUGUUUAAACUACGGAUGCUUUUCAAAGAUGAUUAUCCAUCUUCGCCACCAAAAUGUAAGUAGCUCCCUGUUCAGUGUCCUGGAAGUCGGCCUGUUCCUGCGGGGAUUGGAGUCCUCUCCAAAGAGGCCCGUGGCUGUGGCCGUGGCGCCCUGGUCCGGGCGAUCCAUGGAGCUGGGAGGGAGUGAGAUCACAGAUUUGGAGGUCGGCUUUGAUCCCUGAUCCCCGCCUCAGGCUGCAGAUGCGAGUCUGUUUCCAGCUCCACGGGUGGGCGGUGCACGUAAUAGACUUAGUCUCUCAUCCCAGCUAAUUGGCUGGGAAGCUCCAGAGUCCUUUGCAGGGAGAGGCUGUGAGAUCCAGGCUGGAGCUCCUGGGCUAGGAGUGCCUGGACCCUCAGUGAUUGUUGGCGAUGAAGACAGGAUUUGGUGCCCACAAGACCCCAGCCCUGGAUGGGAUGGACGUGCAGAAGCGCCACCACUCCGAGUCUCACUGGAGGGUUUAUCUUGCCCCACCUCACUGCUCUUCCUGUGGGCUCUCGCAGUCUCUCCCACCCGGGGCUGCGUCUGCAGCCGGGCAGGCAUAGAGCAGGGGAGCAGCAGAGAAGGCGCGAGAAGAAAGGGCUGAGGCCAGGUUCGACUUUGAGCCUACAGCUAAGUUAGUGAUCUCAGUCAGUUCAGCAAAACUCAGGAGAGGGAGGAGAGGGCCGCCACGUCCCUGCCGUCCCAUAGCUGGAAAUCGGCAGGCCCUUUCUGUGGUGAGUUCCACGCAUUAACACGUGCCCAGCACCUAGACAGCGCCUGGCCACGGUGAGGCGAGAGUGCUGUGUAAAAGCUUCCACUGCAAUUGUCACUCAAGACACACAAGUGUUUUCCACAGUGGCAGUGACCAGAGGAGCUUGAGGACUGCUGACAGCACCAGCUGGUCGAGACUUGCUUCAUUUUUGGAUUGUCCUUUGCUGUUUGAUUUUUUUUUUAAACCAUGAGCAGGUAUUACUUAAGAUGACUUAUUUUAAUUAAGAAAAAUAUAAGAAUGAGACACAGUAGCUGCUUUCAUUGAUUCUGUUCAACCGUUGAUUGGAAUUCCAAGCAAAUGCAGCAAGACAAGAAAAAGAAGUCACAACGGAAGAGGUGGGGAGGAAGGCCAGGACAACAGCUCAGUAAAGCUGAGGUGCAAGGCUGGGCACGGUGGCUCACACCUGGAAUCCCAGCACUUUUGGAGGCCGAGGUGGGAGGAUCACCUGAGGUGAAGACCAGCCUGGACAACAUGGUGAAACCCUGUCUCUACUAAAAAAAACAAACAAACAAACAAAAAUUAGCGGGUGUGGUGGUGGGUGCCUUUAAUCCCAGCUGCUCGGGAGGCUGAGGCAGGAGAAGUGCUUGAAUCCAGGAGGCGGGUCCAGUGAGCCGAGAUCGCGCCACUACACUCCAGCCUGGGCAGCAGGGCAAGACCCUGUCUC
rnacentral:lncRNA from 10 species